AUGAUCAGGAGAUUACAGUUGCCGAGUUCAAAAAAAAAUGUUGGCGUCGAUUUCUUUAGGAGGCGCUUGCACCCUCCGCUGCUGGAUCAGUGGGGGGAAGUCAAGCGAGUGGUUGGUUCAUGGUUACUCUCCAAUGAGCCGGACCAAGUAGUCUGGAAUCUUGGGAAGAAUAAACGCUUCACAGCUAAGUCUGUAUACGCAUACAUGAAAAAGCAUCUAGCUGGCUGUGAUUAUAGAUGGAUAUGGAAAGCUAAACUCCCUCUUAAGAUUCAAAUAUUUUUAUGGCAAUUAUUCCAGGAUGUUGUGUACACGAGAUGUCAUGAGCAGACGAAACUGGGUUGGAAACCCGAAGUGCUCCUUUUGUAUGGAUAG
rnacentral:rRNA from 1 species